UUGGUCAUUUAGAGGAAGUAAAAGUCGUAACAAGGUCUCCGUAGGUGAACCUGCGGAGGGAUCAUUACACAAAUAUGAAGGCGGGCUGGAACCUCUCGGGGUUACAGCCUUGCUGAAUUAUUCACCCUUGUCUUUUGCGUACUUCUUGUUUCCUUGGUGGGUUCGCCCACCACUAGGACAAACAUAAACCUUUUGUAAUUGCAAUCAGCGUCAGUAACAAAUUAAUAAUUACAACUUUCAACAACGGAUCUCUUGGUUCUGGCAUCGAUGAAGAACGCAGCGAAAUGCGAUAAGUAGUGUGAAUUGCAGAAUUCAGUGAAUCAUCGAAUCUUUGAACGCACAUUGCGCCCUUUGGUAUUCCAAAGGGCAUGCCUGUUCGAGCGUCAUUUGUACCCUCAAGCUUUGCUUGGUGUUGGGCGUUGUUUGUCUUUGGCCUUGCCCAAAGACUCGCCUUAAAACAAUUGGCAGCCGGCAUAAGCCUGGGAGCGCAGCACAAUUGUUGCUUCCAUUCUUUGUAUGUCGAGCGUCCAGCAAGCCUUUUAUUCUUGCGUUUGACCUCGGAUCAGGUAGGGAUACCCGCUGAACUUAAGCAUAUCAAUAAG
rnacentral:rRNA from 1 species